rnacentral:rRNA from 1 species
CCCUCCCUUGUUUCUCCCGCCUAUAUACCGCCGUCGUCAGCUUACCCUGUGAAGGUCUAAUAGUAAGCAAAAUUGGCACCGCCCAGAACGUCAGGUCGAGGUGUAGCGCAUGAGAGGGGAAGAAAUGGGCUACAUUCGCUAACAUAGCGAAUACGAACGAUGCACUGAAAACGUUCAUCUGAAGGAGGAUUUAGCAGUAAGUGGAAAAUAGAGUGUUCCACUGAAAUCGGCUCUGAAGUGCGUACACACCGCCCGUCACUCUCCCCAAGCUUACCAAUUUAUAUAUCUAAAACGCUUUAACUGCGAAGGGGAGGCAAGUCGUAACAUGGUAAGUGUACCGGAAGGUGCACUUGGAAAAA